AGUUUUCGAGGGCUCCACUUCGGAAACAGGCCCCUGCCCGAGCUCCCCAGAGCUCAGCUCUGCGGCAACCCCGCGGAGAUGCGCUCUCUCCCUCGGUGAGCCACCUGGGACGGUGCGGUCUCCUUUCCAGAAGAGGAAGUUCCCAUCCUAUCCUUGCACAACCCAAUGAUCUGUUAAAAGUAUUUUCCUACAAGUAAAGGGGAUUACUCCCAGAAGAGAGCUGGUUCCACGUCCACAGGAGACAGGAGGGAGGACUUAGAGGCCACAUUCUGCACACCCAUUCUGUACCUAUUGGGAGACCCAAGUCGAAGUCUGGAAAAGGGGCCGGAACUGCCCUGGGGGAGAAGGGAGAUCAGUGGACCUGAGAUCAACCAGCUGCCUUCCCAGCGCUGGGACCUUGCCCGUCUCAGCCAGAGGCGGGGACGCGGGCCACGUGGCUGCGAGCUGUGGGACCCGCGCACGCCGUGGGGGCCCCUGGGCCGGAUGACGCUGCAGGCUCGGUCACCCUCAGCACUGCCCGCUGCGAGGAGGCCGCGAUUGCUCCCAGGUUCUUUUUGAAGAAGAGUUCGGGGCUGUCGUCCCGGUGGGAACCCCUUGGACACCCUGAAGCCCUUAUGUGACACACCAUAGACCUGACAGGGCCGACCAUUCAGUCAACAACUGGAAAACCUAAAGUCCACUUUGAGCUGAAUGGAAGGAAGAGAUGAUUAAGAAAAUUCAAGAAGAGCAGCUGGAUUGUAAAAGUAGAGCCCUGAGUCAGAAGAUUUUAAUCCCCCAGGUUCUGGACAUCGGUAUGAGACCAUGGCUGAGUGCUCAAGAAAACAUGGUGAGUCUCAGGAGUGGUGCAAAGAACACAUCUC
rnacentral:lncRNA from 1 species